UAAUAGUAAUUUUUGUAUUAAGUGCGCGAAAUGAGUGUUUUUUUAAUGGCGCCUGAGAAUGUUAUUUUAGUCGAGACCGCCAGGUCGAGACCUAAAAGACAUUCGAAGGCGCCAUUAAAACAUGAAUUUCGCCACGAAAUACAAACAACGUUUUUUCUACAGCCUCCAGAUGAAGAAAAAAGUAACAGAAAUUAGUUGGAACAAAAUGGUCUGAUAAAUCGAGUUGCUUGCAUGGUUACGAUGAUAAAUAAAAGUGAUAGUUGCGAAAAAUUUGUCACAAUAGGUAUUUUUGUUGAAGAAGUGUGAUGGAUUUUAGCAGCGAAAACGAAAUAGAUGCAAUUGCAAGCGCGGCAGUGUCGAAUCUUUUGCCUGCUAAAUCAAGACCGCAGUACGAAAAAACGUAUCUUCAGUUUCGGCAGUGGUGUUCUAUGAAAAAGAUUGAUCAAGUAACGGAAAAUGUUUUGUUGGCGUAUUUGGAAGAAAAGUCUACCACCUUAAAGCCACCAACACUCUGGGCCCUUUAUGCGAUGUUGAAAGCCACCUUAAACGUUAAAGAGAAUAUCGAUACACAAGCAAGAAGUCGCAAAUUUUAGACAAAGAAGACAUUAGCAAGUUUAUUAAUGAAGCAGAUGACAAGAUAUAUUUACUGAUGAAGGUAAACUUAUCAUAUUAGUGUAAUACAAAUCAAAACAACUCGUUUUAUUUAUAGACUGUGCUAAUUUUGGGUAUAUCGGGAGCCCUUCGACGUGAAGAAUUAGUUAAAAUGAAGCUAACUGACAUAGAAGAUAAACAGUCUGUCUUAAUUGUGAAGGUGCCUGAUACAAAAACCCACUGCGAACGAAUAUUUACUGUUUCAAAUUUAGAAAAUAUAGAAAUUGUCAGAAAAUAUAGAGCUUUGCGGCCUCCACGGGCGACUAGUGACCGUUUAUUUUUAAAGUAUACCAACGGAAAAUGUGUGAAUCAAAAUGUUGGAAUUAACAAAAUCGGAGAGAUACCAAGUUUGAUUGCAAAGUGGCUUAACAAAGACGAACCUAAAAAAUAUACUGGUCACUGCUUCAGAAGAAGCUCUGCCACUCUUUUGGCGAAUGCUGGAGGUGAUCUAAUUUCAAUUAAACGUCAUGGGGGCUGGAGAAGCAGCACAGUGGCAGAAAGUUACAUCGAGGACUCUUUGAAUAAUAAAAUUGAAAUUGCCAAUAAAAUUCAACCUUCUUCCUCCACAGAAGAAAACAAAAUCACUCAACCUUCUACAUCGGCUUCUUUUAAUGGCGAAAAUAACUUUCAUUUACAAGCGUCUUCACUCAGGCCUCUGGGGAUAAACGGGGGCACGUUUUCGUCAUGCACAUUUAAUUUUCAUAUGUCAAAGUAAAUAUCUAUUAUUAUUGUUUUGUAAUAUUGUUCUGUAUAAUUAUAAAACCUUUAAAACUA